rnacentral:rRNA from 1 species
UAAACGACUCUCGGCAACGGAUAUCUCGGCUCACGCAUCGAUGAAGAACGUAGCAAAAUGCGAUACUUGGUGUGAAUUGCAGAAUCCCGUGAACCAUCAAGUUUUUGAACGCAAGUUGCGCCCGAAGCCAUUCGGCCGAGGGCACGUCUGCCUGGGCGUCACGC